CGGAAUGUGGAGUGGAUGAAUGGACAUCCCAAAUCGGUCCAGAGAGCACCUCCUUGGUCAUCUACCGCACACAUCGGACCUUCUCGUUGCGCUUAUAUGCCUCGAGCCCCAACUUACGUUGAGCCUACCUUCUUAAUUUGCCUGCGAUGCAAGAAUGCUGUUGUAGAGUCCAGCUAGAUGACUCAAACAAAAAGAAGCACCGUCGGGAGGCAUUCCCGAAUCUAUCUUUUUGCUUUCUGAAUUUUUGGACAUUUUUUUAUUUUA
rnacentral:lncRNA from 1 species